CCGUAGGGUGAACCUGCGGAGGGAUCAUUACCGAGUUUUCAACUCCCUAACCCUUAUGUGAACCUACCUAUUGUUGCUUCGGCGGACUCGCCCCAGCCGGACGCGGACUGGACCAGCGGCCGCCGGGGACCCUCAAACUCUUGUAUUAUCAGCAUCUUCUGAAUACGCCGCAAGGCAAAACAAAUAAAUCAAAACUUUCAACAACGGAUCUCUUGGCUCUGGCAUCGAUGAAGAACGCAGCGAAACGCGAUAAGUAAUGUGAAUUGCAGAAUCCAGUGAAUCAUCGAAUCUUUGAACGCACAUUGCGCCCGCCAGCAUUCUGGCGGGCAUGCCUGUUCGAGCGUCAUUUCAACCCUCGACCUCCCUUUGGGGAAGUCGGCGUUGGGGACCGGCAGCACACCGCCGGCCCUGAAAUGGAGUGGCGGCCCGUCCGCGGCGACCUCUGCGUAGUAAUCCAACUCGCACCGGAACCCCGACGCGGCCACGCCGUAAAACACCCAACUUCUGAACGUGACCUCGAAUCAGGAGACCCAUGAACUUAAACAAAAAAAAUAAAAAGAUAG
rnacentral:rRNA from 1 species